GGAGAGGUGACCGAGUUGGUUGAAGGUGUGCGCCUGCUAAGCGUAUGUAGGAGAAAUCUUACCGAGGGUUCGAAUCCCUCCCUCUCCGCCA
rnacentral:tRNA from 2 species